GUCAGAUGUGGCAUAGUGGUUUGUGUGUUGGGCUACGACUCUGGAGACUGGGAUUCGAUUCCCCGCUCAGCCA